rnacentral:rRNA from 1 species
UACGUAGGUGGCAAGCGUUGUCCGGAUUUACUGGGCGUAAAGGGCGCGUAGGCGGUCGUGACAAGUCACUUGUGAAAUCUCCGGGCUUAACUCGGAACGGUCAAGUGAUACUGUCGGACUAGAGUACAGAAGGGGCAACUGGAAUUCUCGGUGUAGCGGUGAAAUGCGUAGAUAUCGAGAGGAACACCUGCGGCGAAGGCGGGUUGCUGGGCUGAUACUGACGCUGAGGCGCGAAAGCCAGGGGAGCGAACGGG